CCUACGGGCGGCGGCAGUGGGGAAUAUUGGACAAUGGGGGGAACCCUGAUCCAGCCAUGCCGCGUGUGUGAAGAAGGCCCUCGGGUUGUAAAGCACUUUCAGUGAGGAAGAACGCCUGGUGGUUAAUACCCAUCAGGAAAGACAUCACUCACAGAAGAAGCACCGGCUAACUCCGUGCCAGCAGCCGCGGUAAUACGGAGGGUGCGAGCGUUAAUCGGAAUUACUGGGCGUAAAGCGCGCGUAGGUGGCUUGAUAAGCCGGUUGUGAAAGCCCCGGGCUCAACCUGGGAACGGCAUCCGGAACUGUCAAGCUAGAGUGCAGGAGAGGAAGGUAGAAUUCCCGGUGUAGCGGUGAAAUGCGUAGAGAUCGGGAGGAAUACCAGUGGCGAAGGCGGCCUUCUGGACUGACACUGACACUGAGGUGCGAAAGCGUGGGUAGCAAACAGGAUUAGAUACCCUAGUAGUC
rnacentral:rRNA from 1 species